GACGAACGCUGGCGGCGUGCCUAAUACAUGCAAGUAGAACGCUGAAGAGAGGAGCUUGCUCUUCUUGGAUGAGUUGCGCACGGGUGAGUAACGCGUAGGUAACCUGCCUUGUAGCGGGGGAUAACUAUUGGAAACGAUAGCUAAUACCGCAUAACAAUGGAUGACACAUGUCAUUUAUUUGAAAGGGGCAAUUGCUCCACUACAAGAUGGACCUGCGUUGUAUUAGCUAGUAGGUGAGGUAAUGGCUCACCUAGGCGACGAUACAUAGCCGACCUGAGAGGGUGAUCGGCCACACUGGGACGGAGACACGGCCCAGACUCCUACGGGAGGCAGCAGUAGGGAAUCUUCGGCAAGGGGGGCAACCCUGACCGAGCAACGCCGCGGGAGUGAAGAAGGUUGUCGGAUCGUAAAGCUCGGUUGUAAGUCAAGAACGGGUGUGAGAGUGGAAAGUUCACACUGUGACGGUAGCUUACCAGAAAGGGACGGCUAACUACGUG
rnacentral:rRNA from 1 species